rnacentral:tRNA from 1 species
AUCCUAAUAGCUAAUAUAAGUGGGCGACUCUUAAUCGUUUGAUGUAAUUUAAUUUACUUAGGGUA